GACGAACGCUGGCGGCGUGCUUAACACAUGCAAGUCGAACGGUAAGGCUCCAGCUUGCUGGGGUACACGAGUGGCGAACGGGUGAGUAACACGUGGGUGACCUGCCCUGCACUUCGGGAUAAGCCUGGGAAACUGGGUCUAAUACCGGAUAGGACCAUGGUGUGGAUACUGUGGUGGAAAGUUUUUUCGGUGUGGGAUGGGCCCGCGGCCUAUCAGCUUGUUGGUGGGGUAAUGGCCUACCAAGGCGGCGACGGGUAGCCGGCCUGAGAGGGUGGACGGCCACAUUGGGACUGAGACACGGCCCAGACUCCUACGGGAGGCAGCAGUGGGGAAUAUUGCACAAUGGGCGGAAGCCUGAUGCAGCGACGCCGCGUGGGGGAUGACGGCCUUCGGGUUGUAAACUCCUUUCACCAUCGACGAAGGGUUUCUGACGGUAGAUGGAGAAGAAGCACCGGCUAACUAC
rnacentral:rRNA from 1 species